CUGCGACCUGCCCUGUCUGUGGGCUCACCUCUCUCGGGGGUGGCAGCUGCGCCCCGCUCUGUGCAGCCCGUGGCAAUUCUCUCUUGUGACCCUCUGUGGAGCGAAGUUUGUGCGCGCUCCAGACCCAGCCCCUCCUUUCUGGCGGCUGCUUUCUUCCAGUUCCCUUCAUUCAUCAGAAAACCCUCCGACAGGAGCGAGUCCUUUGCUAGACACACCUGCUGGAGAUACUCCUUUUCUUUCCUAGACACUUGGCGAGAGACAAUGGACAGCAGCCUUUGGUCUUGUCUGUGAUCAGCAUGGCUUGUGUGGCUUGCCCCAGGGCCAGCGACAGCCCUUUCUCCUCAGACAAGCAUGCCCGUCUCCUCCUCGCCCAGAUCAACAAGAUGAGAUGUGGGCAUAAUUUCUGUGAUGUGCAGCUCCAGGUUGGUGAAGAAGCAUUUGAGGUCCAUCGCCUCGUCUUAGCUGCAAGCAGCCCUUACUUUGCUGCUCUGUUCACGGGAGGGAUGAAGGAGUCUUCCAAGGAUGUGGUACGCAUCCUAGGAGUAGAGGCUGGCAUCUUUCAGUUGCUCCUGGAUUUUAUUUACACAGGAGUCGUGAAUGUUGGUGAGAGUAAUGUUCAGGAGCUGAUAAUAGCAGCAGACAUGCUACAGCUGACUGAAGUUGUGGACCUUUGUUGUGAAUUUCUGAAGGGACAGAUCGACCCCUUGAACUGCAUUGGACUCUUCCAGUUCUCUGAGCAAAUUGCCUGCCAUGACCUUCAGGAAUUCACAGAGAAUUACAUCCAUGCUCACUUUCUGGAAGUGCAUUGUGGUGAGGAAUUCCUGGCACUAACAAAGGAGCAGCUUAUUAAAAUCUUACGGAGUGAGGAGCUUACUAUAGAGGAUGAGUACCAAGUUUUCAUAGCUGCAAUGCAGUGGAUUUUGAAGGAUCUUGGAAAAAGAAAGAAACAUGUGGUGGAAGUGCUGGAUCCAGUUCGAUUUCCUCUGUUGCCACCCCAGAGACUCUUAAAGUACAUAGAAGGAGUUCCAGAUUUCAGCCUGCGGGUGGCUCUGCAAACCCUGUUGAAAGAAUAUUGUGAAGUCUGUAAAUCUCCCAAAGAGAACAAAGUCAGUACUUUUCUGCAAACAUCUAAGGCUCGUCCCCGAAGGAAAGCCAGGAAGUAUCUUUAUGCAGUAGGUGGAUACACUCGCCUGCAGGGGGGACGCUGGAGCGACAGCAGAGCCCUCAGUUGUGUGGAGCGUUUUGACACUUUCAGUCAAUACUGGACCACUGUAUCUUCUCUUCACCAGGCUCGCAGCGGGUUGGGAGUGGCCGUGGUGGGAGGAAUGGUCUAUGCUAUUGGAGGAGAAAAGGAUUCAAUGAUCUUUGACUGUACUGAAUGCUAUGAUCCUAUUACGAAGCAGUGGACAACCGUGGCCUCCAUGAACCAUCCUCGGUCUGGACUUGGAGUGUGUGCAUGUUAUGGUGCUAUCUAUGCUUUUGGAGGUUGGGUUGGAGCUGAAAUUGGCAACACAAUUGAAAGAUUUGACCCUGAAUUAAAUAGCUGGGAGCUGGUAGGCAGUAUGCCUGUGCCCCGCUACGAUUUUGGAUGUUGUGAAAUGCAAGGUUUAAUUUACAUUGUUGGGGGCAUCAGCAAUGAAGGAGUAGAGCUACGUUCUGUUGAAGUCUAUGAUCCAAUAUCCAAACGUUGGGCUGAGCUUCCUCCAAUGGACACCCGAAGGGCAUACGUUGGCGUAGCUGCCCUCAAUGAUUGUAUCUAUUCUCUUGGAGGAAUGAACGAGAGUCAAGAUGCACUUCGUACUGUAGAGAGAUAUUCCUUUGAAGAGGAGAAAUGGGUUGAAGUUGCAUCGAUGAAGGUACCCAGAUGUGGUGUGUGUGUUGUGGCUGUGAAUGGACUUCUUUACGCUUCAGGAGGCCGAGCUUCUAGCCAUGAUUUCGCUGCCCCAGGGACGUUGGAUUCUGUCGAAGUGUAUAACCCUCAUACGGACACAUGGACUGAAAUAGCAAACAUGAUCACCAGCCGCUGCGAAGGAGGCGUGGCUGUGUUGUAGAAGAGGUCUUCAAAGAACUCAAGGAAGACAGACAGUGGGAAGGAUGAGCAUCUGGCUUUCCACAGACAAUGAGGUUUUAUGCGUCUCUGGCCAGGAUCCUCUUUCGCUCUGUGGCUGUUGUGUGGAGUUGGUAGAGGAGCAGAUCUCAGAUUUGGUACUUGUAGCUUCUGUUUGCACCUUGGCUGGUUUUGGAUGAAUCAUCUGGGAUUCAAGUCAUAAAUGAAAUUGUGCUGUGUUGGACAAUCUUCUGGAAUACAAAACACCAUUAGAAGAAUAAUACAAUGGGAAGUCUUCAUUAUGUAGACCUGCUUUCCAGAUCAAGGAUGUUACCUGCACAGUAUGAAGUUGUUUAUAAAAAUAAAAAGCAUCUAGUCUGUGUAGUAGCUACCUGAAAACUGAAUUAACAUAUUAAAGGGAAAAAACGUUAUCCACGCUUGCUUAAGUUUGCUAUAUAACAAAGUACUUGCUUCUCUGAUAACUUUAAAGCCUGUAUUCAAGAUGGACUUCUAAUGGUUGUGAAGCUAGCCCGUUUCUCUACCUUUUGCGUGAGCCAAGUGAGUUUGCUCUUUAAAUUGCUGUGUAUAUCUUGUAACUAGCUGCAGGUCAUGAGUAUGUACCUCAGUGGUGGAAUGCUGUGUUUUUACAGAAUGCUUUUUUUACUAAUGAGGGUGAGUGGCAUUGCUGUUACCUAUAACAAAAAUUGAGAUAUUCUUGUUGAAAUUUUGUGUUUAAAUUCUGAAGAACAUUGAAUCAGCUUUAUAAGAGAAAAAACAUUGACAGAUUGUUUUUAGAAACAAAAAUGUGCUUCUAAAAUAAAAUAUUUAUUGUAUUUCCUUACUACUGAUGAGAUCCUUUGACUACAGGAUCUUUGGGAAAUGGGGGCUAAUUGGAUAGCUACCCUGUACUGCAUACUGCCUUUUGACUGGAAAGAGCUGAAGUGGGAGAUGUUUUACAGUCAAACAUCUGCAGAUUCCCAUGCUGCUUGCAUUUGGUUCCCAUAAGAUUUCAGCUUACUUUAUUAUGUCUGCCGUUAGCUAUUUAUCUCUUGCAGUCUGGAGUCAGGGAGGCCUUUUUGUUGUACCAUGAGGUAGUUUCUUUUGACCAAUGCUCAGGACUUUCAGCUGUUGGCUGACAGUUGUGGGUUUGUAGUCUGCCAUCACCACAUACCUAGUCUCCCGUGUGAGAGGAGGGACAGCUUCUACAACUGGCUUCAUACUAGCCUGUGCUGCUGUCAGUUUCUUGUUUAUAUGUUUAUAAAGCAGCCAUGUUGGUUAAGAGGGAGUGACACAAUGAACUUUGCUUUUCUUUAAAUUGAAAACUCAAUUUUAUUUCCUCUACACCAAAACAAAGUAGAAGUGAAGCCUUUCAUACUCUGUUACAUCCAGUGUUUGUCUCUGUCCUCGAGCAAUGCUGUUGCUGCUAUAUCCACUACUUCUGCAGCUUCUGCUGAACAGGGCUUUCCGCUCCCUUGUAGCACUCACGGGAGGAGGGCUGGAAAGCAGCAUAUCCAGUUUGGGGUUGGCCACCCUGGUAGUAACUACUCUCAUUCACUGCCUAACCAAACCCUGCUCCUUAGCUUUACUAGAGCUGGUUUCAAUCCAAAAAAGUGACAUGACAGGGUCCCAUGUUGGAAGUGAACACAUUAGUCAAUAACGGAUAGGGCAGCACGUUCAGCCGCGUUCAGGAAAAACCCUUAUCAAUUCCUGUUUUCAGGAAUUAAGGAUGCAGUCCCCUGAUUACAACAACACCUGUGUUCACACAGAGCACCCCGUGAACACAGUUUACAACUACAGCCACUCUGAAUGUGUGCCGAUGGAGAAGAGGAUGCUGGUAGGACUCCUAUGGCACAAUCACAGAUCGGCAUUAAGGAAUGACAUUGGACUUAGCAUCACCUUCCUCAGUUUUCAUCAGGCUAAAGUAAAGCCUUGCUGCUUAGCUGUAAAUACCCAUUUGCUGCAUACUUUUCACGUUCAAGGAUUUAUAUCUGUUUUAGGUGGAUUUCUACUGAAGGAACAUUGGCUUAGGCCACAACUGAAAAUCCUCUAAGUUUAUAUUACACAUCCAUCAUCCACUUAAUCUUCUGCCUUAGCUGAGUGGAGUUUAAAGGGAGGGUUGUGAAAAAACUAUUGUGGAGAAGUGUGUGCUUCACUUCUCUAGCAUAUUUGAUAUUCAACCUACUGUGAAGUAUCUACACUUUACAAAUGUUAUUGAAUGGCCAACAAAAAGCAGACUUAGCCCAUACAGGUGGAGUUGCUCAACCCCUUCUAGGGAACUGCACCUAGAUUUCUGUGCAAAAUAACUGCUUGAGUUACUUACUGAGAGCCAGGGAGCAAUGCCUGCUGGCAUCAGGCACACUAUUCCAGUGUUUCUGAACCUUUUUUUAAUAAAGUACCCCCUUAAAAAAAAAAAAGUACCCCCAGUUCCUACAGUUUUCGGAUGCACAAUUUUUUUUUCU